rnacentral:lncRNA from 1 species
CGGGUCGCCAAGCCCAACAUGCACCAGACCACCCAACAAAUCAACACAAGCCCCCAAUUUUAAGGCAUCAAUGGGACAUGUCGCAGAAGCUGGAGGUGGUGGGCAUCCUGGCCCUCCAGUAUAGGGUGGCGGUCCACCAAUAAUUGGAGUGACAACAGGUGGGAGUUCGAUCGGUGGCUUUGUGAUGGGGGGAACGGUAACGGGAGGGAGCUCGAUCGGUGGCUUUACAAUGGGAGGAACGGUAACGGGAGGGAGAUUGAUUGGUGGCUUUACAACGGGGGGAACGGUAACGGGAGGGAGAUUGAUGGGUGGCUUUACAACAGGGGGAACGGUAACCGGAGGUUUGAUGACCGGGGGCUUAACGAUGACCGGAGGGGGUUUGAAGGGGGGCUUUACAACAGGGGGAACGGUAACCGGAGGUUUGAUGACCGGGGGCUUAACGAUGACCGGAGGGGGUUUGAAGGGGGGCUUAACGAUGACGGGUGGGUAUGUUUUCGGGGGUUUGUAUUUGGG